CGGCCGCAGGCGGUUUCUUAAGUCUGAUGUGAAAGCCCCCGGCUCAACCGGGGAGGGUCAUUGGAAACUGGGGAACUUGAGUGCAGAAGAGGAGAGUGGAAUUCCACGUGUAGCGGUGAAAUGCGUAGAGAUGUGGAGGAACACCAGUGGCGAAGGCGACUCUCUGGUCUGUAACUGACGCUGAGGCGCGAAAGCGUGGGGAGCGAACAGGAUUAGAUACCCUGGUAGUCCACGCCGUAAACGAUGAGUGCUAAGUGUUAGAGGGUUUCCGCCCUUUAGUGCUGCAGCAAACGCAUUAAGCACUCCGCCUGGGGAGUACGUCGCAAGACUGAAACUCAAAGGAAUUGACGGGGGCCCGCACAAGCGGUGGAGCAUGUGGUUUAAUUCGAAGCAACGCGAAGAACCUUACCAGGUCUUGACAUCCUCUGACAACCCUAGAGAUAGGGCUUCCCCUUCGGGGGCAGAGUGACAGGUGGUGCAUGGUUGUCGUCAGCUCGUGUCGUGAGAUGUUGGGUUAAGUCCCGCAACGAGCGCAACCCUUGAUCUUAGUUGCCAGCAUUCAGUUGGGCACUCUAAGGUGACUGCCGGUGACAAACCGGAGGAAGGUGGGGAUGACGUCAAAUCAUCAUGCCCCUUAUGACCUGGGCUACACACGUGCUACAAUGGGCAGAACAAAGGGCAGCGAAGCCGCGAGGCUAAGCCAAUCCCACAAAUCUGUUCUCAGUUCGGAUCGCAGUCUGCAACUUCGACUGCGUGAAGCUGGAAUCGCUAGUAAUCCCC
rnacentral:rRNA from 1 species